ensembl:lncRNA
GUCAGGACCACGGGGUGCGGGGGGGGGAUCAGAGUUUUAUUUAUGAUACUGUACUCUAAAUUAUUUUGAGAGAUAUUUUACACCCACCACCUUAAGAACCGGAAGAUCAUCCACUUUUUAUAAAGAAGUAGUGGGAGAGCAACAAGAAUGUGUGUUCAGCCAGGCGGGGAAUCAUGUAAGGGACACGACCUUUUGAGAGAACUAUAAUUAGAUCCCCCCCCUCCUCCCCUGAGCGGCAGUGGGGGGCCGAACAUGCGAAUAUAAAACAGCUGGCAGGAAGCGAGCUGUGGACCGGAGGCUCCUCUCCACGCGGUGCGGCCCGUUCCAUGAGAACCAAGAAGCUUUGCCUGUUUGAGUCGGGACCUUUGCCUUACCAGAGACGGGCCUGAUGAUUAUAGACAGAGAUAUAUUAUAAUGAGUCAUUUCUGUAAAUAAGAUCGUCUGUAAGCCAACAGGAAGGAUGGAACCCCGGAGACGUCUCCCUUUUUCUACCCUCCCGCUGGGCCCUGUGGUGGGGGGAGGAGACGGGGGGGGCGGUGGUCUCAAUGGGUGUCACGUCACUCGUUUUUUUUUCUAAUUUGUGUGCUCGAGGAUCGAAGCGGUCGGACGCUGAGAGGAGGCGUGAUGGCGACCGAGGGGCAGAGUGCCUUAGACUGACGGAGAGGUCCGAACCGCUUCAGACGGGCCGGAACAGAACUAUUGGAGGCUUAAGUGGUUCAUUUCAGAUUCUGAUCUCUCAACGAGGUCCAAAGUCAUUCGUCUCCACCGGGGAUUCCUCAUCUCAAGAGAUGGUGUUUUUAAAGCGCAGGACACUGUAGUCCAGGCCAAACCAUCUGUGGCCCCCGCGCCGCUCACUGACCGUUGCUAUGCUCUGCAUUCCGCCGCCGCGCGUCUGGAGGGAGAAGGAUGACUGAGUUUUGAAAUAGAAAAAAAGAAAUCGGCCUUCCCACCUCAGUUAGUCUCCUAUUGCAGGAGGAACUGGUUAAAUAUGAUGCCAAACGAAACAAGAUCCGCCUGUUUGAUUCCAGAUUACACAUUAAACUCAAUUCAUAAAAUCCAAUAGAUUUCAGCACAGCUAGGAAUCAACCAGCGAGUGGACCCGUAGAGGGGGGCGGGCUGUGGUUAGCACGCCUGUCCCGCUUACUGGUCCACUGAAGCUGUCUGGGGUUUUGGGAACGCUUUAAAAAAAAAGCAAUUUAAACUCUUAAAGUGCUGAGCGUUGGCCAGACUCGGGCUGCAUGCACGCCGCUUCCAAAAAGCUCGACGGGUCUGCAGUGCCUAGCUGCCGUUGCUAAGCUGUGAUUGAACACUUGAUGUUCCAGGCGGGGGGGGUUGUUUAGGGCAAGCUGUCGAUUUUGGGAUUUAAAAAAAAAGCUUUUUUCCACAGCCUGUCUGCAAAUUUAAAGAAAAGUUGUCCGGUAAUCUUUCCGCUGAAUGAGAGAAAAUAAAGAGUGCCAAUAGGAGAAGAGGAGUUCCUUCUCCACCGCUGAGGAAGGUGCAAACAGUGUUCAGAGGGAGUCAUCAUGUCUGCCAUUGUGAUCCGUAAUUACACCGCAAAGGAGCGGUCUCUCUCCGGCGGUUUGGGAGCUAUUAGGUCGGAGGGAAUCAUCGGCUCAGACCUCCAGUCACCGGUAGACGGUGUGAACAGGCGACGUCACAAAAAGAGGCGCCUCCAUACUUCAUCCUGUGCAUCGUCCCACCAGACGCUUUUUUUUCUUCGUUUUGUGUCGUGAAGCAGAAACGAAACUGAAGAAUCAAUGUUUGCACAAGUCACUGCUUCCCCAAAACAUCUCGAUUGUCUCCAUCCAGCCAAAUUCCAAGUAGUUUGCUCUAGAAAGCCAACCAAAAAAAAAAAAAAGUGUGUGUGUGUGGAAAUAGCAGCACUAUAAACUCCCACCAGAGCAGCCCAGUCUCACUGUGUAGUGUUAUAGCAGUGUAUAGAGCCUGAACAAAUAUCUCUACAAAUACCACUCUGUGUACUAUUGAUGGUUACAAAGACUAAGUGGAGCAACUAUUUUUAUGAAAUGCAACACUAUGGAUAUAUGAACUUUUGCAAAAAUCUUGUUUACCUGUAUGAUAUUCUGAAACGCUGUCAAAAUAAAAGAACAUCUUGACACGACGUGAAAGAUUUCUUGAGGACGAGCUGCUGUGUGAUUCAUUCUGGGUGUUCCUUCUAAUCGAAGCGCACAACUGACGUACUUUUCAACACUUAGAGGUACUACUUAACACCAAGGGUGUGGACUGAACUAAACCGGCGUAGAAGGUGAGGAGGAACUGAACUUCAUGUGUGAAAUCCGGGGACUGCCCCUUUAAUUCAAGCUGUCAGGAAGUUAUUUUUCUAUCUCAUGUCUGGUAGCGCCGCCGUUUGGCCACAAGGGGGCAUCUGCUAAUUAUAGAUAACACUUUCUUUUGUUAAUUGAAAUGGAUUUUUAUUUUUAUUUUGUUUGUAUACACUAAACAUGUAUUUAAAUGUACAAAAUAAACUACUGGUG